rnacentral:lncRNA from 1 species
GCGGCUGAGAAUCAGAAGGGAGUGGAACCUGAAGGGACUGGUCUCCUUUAUUCCAACCUCUCUCCUCGCCUCCUGGCCAACUCCUUACUAGGUGCCAAGGCUGGCUGUUGGCUGAGAAACCACACAGCCCCUCUAUAUUUGAAUUUCUGGAACAGCAUUCUUAGAUGACUUCAGUGACCCAGGUAUACUACCACUAAAGAAACAUUCAUAUUUAUUUCUCUAAAUAGAAAAUAUUCAUUCAUUAGGGUUCAAAUCUCUACGUAUAGCCCCAAGAAAUUGAUCUUCAGAUUAGUAUCCUAGAUGUGAACCUGUGGUUUCUUCUGUCAAUGUUUAUUGUCACAACUGAUUUACUGAAAGAUUUUAUUUGUAAUUCCUUGUACUCCAGGGUUCAGAUGCUCUUCUACAGGUGACAUUUGAACAACACAGGCUCAAACUGUACAGGUCCACUCACACUCAGGGUUUCUUCAGCCUCUUUAUCCUUGAGGCAGCAAGACCAACCCCUCCCUCCUUCUCAGGCUACUCAGUGUGAAGAUGACAAGGAUGAAGCCCUUUAUGAUGAACCACUUCCACUUAAUGAAUAAGACCACGUGUUGUUGAUAGAAGAUUGUACC